rnacentral:rRNA from 1 species
CCUACGGGUGGCAGCAGUGAGGAAUAUUGGUCAAUGGGCGCUAGCCUGAACCAGCCAAGUAGCGUGAAGGAUGACUGCCCUAUGGGUUGUAAACUUCUUUUAUAUGGGAAUAAAGUGAAGUAUGCAUAUUUCUUUGCAUGUACCUUAUGAAUAAGGAUCGGCUAACUCCGUGCCAGCAGCCGCGGUAAUACGGAGGAUCCGAGCGUUAUCCGGAUUUAUUGGGUUUAAAGGGUGCGUAGGCGGGUUGAUAAGUUAGUUGUGAAAGUUUGCGGCUCAACCGUAAAAUUGCCUUUGAUACUGGCAUCCUUGAGUACAGUAGAGGUAGGCGGAAUUCGUGGUGUAGCGGUGAAAUGCUUAGAGAUCACGCAGAACUCCGAUUGCGAAGGCAGCCUGCUAGGCUGUAACUGACGCUGAUGCUCGAAAGUGUGGGUAUCAAACAGGAUUAGAUACCCUUGUAGUC